UCAUGGUGCCACUCUUGUCUUUAGAAAGUUGACUCUGUUGGGACAUGUCAGCGGUCUCAAGAGAUUAUUACCCCAAAGCUAAUUUGUACUUGUUUGAAUUUCUGGUUUAAUUCUGUUUAGACUUGAUACGUUUUUGUUGCAGAGAUCAGACUGACAUCUGAGGGCAGACAAGUGAGGUGAAGAGGUUGCCGUGCGUUUUUUAGUCUUGGGCUUGCCCUCCCACCUGUGGACUCCCUUUGCCUUUCUCUCUUCUUUGUAAUCAAAACCCAAGAGUUUACACUGGGGAACUUGUUUCCCUACCAGAGUGGUUUAAACAUCAGGAGUUCACAGCUUUUCCAGGGGCUCCUGUCCAUCGUACACCUCCUCAGCAGCCAGGGGGCUUUGCAGGCCUCAUGGUUACCAUGGCAAGCCGCUGGCCGCUGCCCCUGCCCCUCUGGGAACAUGAUGUGGUGGUGCCUCAGCCCUCCAGCCACCACGGCCUCCAUCUCCUCAGUGUCCUGCCCAGGGAAGAAGUAAUGGAUGAGCACUUCCCAAGCGGGAUAAAAGACAUGAGUCUACACAUCCAAGAAGUUCAGGGAACUCCAAGUAGGGAUGGAGCCAGAGACAUCCAUACUGAGACGUACUGUAAUCCACACUGGUCAGAAGCGAAGAGGAGCUCUUAAAACCAGCAGGAGAGGAGGGACAUGUCAUGUACAAGGGUCUUCAGUGAGGUUAACAUCUGAUUUCUCAUUGGAAACCAUGGAGGCCAGAAGGCAGAGGAUCUGGCGAAACUCUUUUUCAAUGAUGAAGGAGAAAUUAAGGCAUUUCCAGAUACUUUUAGGAGUUGAGAGAGCUUGUUAUAUUUAAACCUGCCCUACAAGAAUCAUUAGAGAGCCCUUCAGGCUGAAGUGAGUGAGCCAGUAACUUGAGGCUGUGAGGCAAGAUAAAGGUCACUGGUAGAGGCUGCUGCGUAGGUAAAUAGAAAGGCUGGCGUGGUGGUCUUUUUGGUUUGUAACUCCUCUUUUUCUCUCUUUAUGGCUUGAAGGACAAGUGCAUAAAACCAUAAUUACAAGUCUGUUAAUGGGUGCAUGAUGUAAAAAGAUGUAACCUGAGACAGCGUCAACAUAAAGCUGGAAGGAGAUGUGUAGGAGCAGAACGUUUGUGUAUUAUUAAAGCUAGAGAUGGGAAAGCUGAUCUUAAAACUCACGUGGAACUGCCAGGGGACCAAGUAGCCAACAGCAUCUCGUGAAAGAGCAGAGUUGGAAGACUCACACUCCCUUUAUUCAGAGCUUCCUGUGAAACUCCAGUAGCCAGAACAGGCAAGAGGGUAGACGUGGACCGAUAGAGUAAAAUUAAGAGGCCAGAUAGAGUCUCUGGUCCGUCGUUUCUGUCAAGUAUAUAAAGACCAUUUGCCGGGGAAGGAAGAGUCUGCUCGACCGAAAGUGCUUGGACAGUGAUCUCCACAAGCAAAGAUGGAAACUGGACCUCAGGCUGUGUGCAGAGGUCAAGUCAAAGUGGCGAAGAGGCCUGAGGUUUGGAGCUAAAACUAUGAAGGUCUUAGAAGGAAACAAGGGAGAAGGUCUUCGUGGCCUUGGAUUUGUCAGUGGCUUCUUAAAUCACAAGCAGCAAGUGAAAGAGCAAAUUGCACUUCCUGAAAAUUAAAAUCUUUUGUGUAUCAAGGGACAUUAUUGAGGGAAUGAAAAGACGGCCUACAGAAUGGAAGAAAAUAUUUGGAAAUUAUGCAUCUCGUAAGGGCCUAGAAUCCAGAAUUUGCAAAGAACCCAGUUUAAAAGUGGGCAAAGGAUUUGAAUAGACACUUUUCCAAAGAAGAAAUACAGAUAGCCAGAAAGGACAUGAAAAGAUGCUCAGUGUUAUUAGUCAUUAAGGAAAUGCAUCUCAAAACCGCAAGAUCCCACUUGACACCCUCCAGGAUGGCCACGAAAGACAGACAGACGGAAGAGCUGGCAGGGUGUAGGCAGGUGGGAACCCUCCCUGUUGGUGGGAUGUAAGAUGGUAUGUCUGUGGAGAUCAGCGUGGCAGUCCUUCAAGAAGCGAGAUGCAGUUGCUGUAUGACCCCAGUUCCACUUGGGCAUCUACCUAAGAGAAUUAAAAUCAUUUCUCCACACAAAGACUGGUACAUGGGCAUUCACAGCAGCAUUAUUCAUAAGGUAGGUACCACCACAGUGUCCAUCAGGGCAUGACCUGCAGAUGCAGAGGGCCAGUGGUACCACACUGUUUUGUACAAGGGGCUUGGGUGUCCGUGGAUUUUAGUGUCUUCUUGUGGAUACCUUGGGACAGCUGUACUUGGAACAUUAUUCAGCUGUAGAAAGGACUGAAGUACUGAUUGGUGCUGCAAUGCUGGAGGAACCUCACAGUAUUUUGCAGGUGAAAGAAACGGACACAAAAGACUACAUAUUGUAUGAUUCCUUUUCUGUGAAACUUCCACAGACGGAAAGUAGAUUAGUGGUUGGCGGGGGUGGGUACGAGAAUUAACCACAUAAGUGCCGGGAAUGUCUAGAAUGAGAUUAGGGCAGUAGUUGCACAUCUUGAUAAAUGUACUAAAAGUCUUUGAAAUAGACCCUUAAAAUGAGUAGAUUGUACAUUAAAUAAGUUACUCCUCAAUAAAUUUUUGAACCAAAAAAACUGGCUAAAAGCAAUGGUGACUGACAAAGCAGCUUGCAUCUCCUUCCAGUCCUUGACCUGGUCUGCUCUGGUCCCUUGACUGGAGACUUUCCUGUGACAGUCCGCCCUGGGGCGCCAAUGGGACUGCUCCCACUGGCAGGCGCUCGUACCUCUAAUGUUUGCACUGAAGUGGCCCUAAUCACUGCCCGCCACCUCAGCCCUUUAGUUCCGGAGAAACACUUUGAGCAGGCCAUCGCGAGGAUCAUCGGAGGUCUGGAGAAGAUGACGCAGGUCCUCAGCCUGGAGAGAAGACAACGGUGGCCUACAUGGUGGUGGGCUGGUUCCUGGAGCACGCAGAUCCCCUGUUGAAAGUUGGUCACGUCCCUUCGCGUGUCUGCACGGGGAGGGGCAGGGCCCACUCCCCUCCUAGCUCGUCCCUUGGUCUCCAGGCGUGGGUGCCUGUGUGUAGCAUGUGGCCACAUGGGCACAGUGCCUUCAAGGUGGCAGCCUUUUUGCUUUCCAAGGAACGUAGUGGUCUAGAAUUUGUUAUAAGACUCCUUGAGGGGUGAGUGGGUAGAGAGCUGGGUGCUGGUUUCAGGAGGGGUUUGGGUGCUGGCCACCUGACAUCUGCUGAGGUUUUACCCGAUGGCUGGCUCCUCUGCAGGGUAGGUGGGGGGGGUUCCAUGUUAAUUGUUGGGGUGACCCCCGUCAGUGUGGGGCCCAGGGUCUGCUCUCCUUCCACACUCUUGCAGGGAGACCAGUGCUCAGAGGGGCAAGGUUGGUCCGGGAUGCCCCAGGACUGGGGCUGUGUCUUGCAGGUGUCCAUCAUCCCCCGGGGCAAGGGGCUGGGCUUUGCCCAAUGUGUGCCCCCAGAGCAGUACCUGCACACGCAGGAGCAGCUCUUCGACUGCGUGUGCAUGCUGCUGGGCAGCAGGGUGGCUGGAAAGCUGUUUUUCUGCCAGGUCACCACAGGGGCCCAGUAUGACUUGAGGGAGGUAACCCAGAACGCCUAUGCCCAGGUAGAGCAGCGCUGGGUGGGGGGCUCUGCACGCGAGUCUGGCCAGGCGCACUUCCCUCCACCCCCACUCCAGAUAGUGCAGUUUGGGAUGAGUGAGAAGCUGGGUCAGAUGUCUGAUUUUCCCCAGCAAGGCGAAGGGCAGGCGGGGAGGCUGUACAGCGAGGCCACAGCUUGGCUUAUCGAUGAGGAGGUGAGGUACCUCAUCAGCUCCACCCACGAGACCUGCUGACGCAGUGCUGGGAGCAGGUGGACAAGGCAAGUGCGGCUGGGGCGGCGCCCAUCCUCCGGGAGUUCUGGUGAUUCGCAGGCUGCUGACGGGCAGUGGGACUUGCAGGUGGGCAGGCGGCUGCUGGAGAAGGAGGUGCUGGAGCAGGCUGACAUGGUGGAGCUGCUAGGCCCAUGGCCCUUCACCGAGAAGACCACCUACAAGGAGUUUGUGGAGGGCACAGGAGGCCUGGAGGAGGACACAUCCCUUCCCGAGGGGCUGAAGGGCUGGAACCUGGGGCAGCAGGAGGUGGGCACGGAGCCCAGCGUGUGGGAGAGCCCAGCCUAGUGCCUCUGCUUUGGAGGGCAGCUUCUGGAAUCACUGGAAAACAAACGAAAACGUGGUGACUGCAAAUGGGCAGUUGCAAAUAAGGGUUUUCUGAGCCCACAGGUUCCUGCUCCCAGAACACGCCUGUUCCCUGAGAGGGGGCUGGGACCCUGUUCCUGAGUCAUGGGGGACAGUGGUGGGCAGUGGGCUUCUCUGAUGGGGAUCCCCAAGGAGGGGGAGGGGGCUUUUGGCCCAGUUCAGAAAUGCUCAAGGUUUGGUGAGGUGGCAGAAUUAAGAAAAGGAAAAUAUAAGCCAGGUAUCCAGGGAAAUAGCUGUUUGGGUUGGUGGAAGGCCUGUUUGUUGGGAUGGAGGGAACUCAGCACCUCCUGCCGGUGUGUGGUUGGUGUAGGGUGGUGGAGCCUGAGUGGGGGUCCGCCUGCCAGCCCCAGCACCUGUUCCCCGGGUGGGGCCUUUCUGACCAUGUGUCGGGAUGUGAUGAUCUUUUCCAGGAAGCUGCAUUCCUUGUGAGCCUUUUUGUUGGAGUCAUGGAGAGGGAGCCUCUGGACUGCAGGGGAGAACCCUCUCCAGUGGUCUCGUCUUUAUUCUGUAAAUCCUGGUGUCCUGGCCUGUGUCAAAGCUGUGGGGUCGGGGUGCAGAAGAUGCAGCUUUUGCCAUCAAGGACACUGAUCUUUUGGCUGGAAGGACAUGAAGGAAACAGGACUUGGGCGUGGUCCUCAUGCACGAUAAUUUCAGAAAUACUUAAGGAUGAAAUAAGAUGUCUAGAUUUGCUACAAAUGACUACUUAAGGAAGCCCUGCAGGGGAAGGGUCUGUCUCCAUGGAGAGAAGAGGACAGAGAGCUCAGAGGGGCCUGGCUGCUUGGCCCACAGCCCCAGGCCUUGCUUUCCAAAUCUUCCCCUUCAAAUCCUCACGAAGCUGCCACUGGGAUGCCCUGGGGUCCUGGUACU